rnacentral:tRNA from 1 species
AGACACGUCCCUCAUCGUCUAACGGCAGGACGCCGGACCUUGGUUCCGGUGGUGCAGGUUCGAUCCCUGCCGCAUUUGCCA